rnacentral:rRNA from 1 species
GAGUAUGAUCACACCAAUACUAAUGCCCUGGAUCCUAUUAGAAUUCCAAAGUUAAGCAUGUUUGGGCAAUAGUAAUAUCAGGAUGGGUAACUUCUUGGGAAGUCGUUGUGUUACACGAC